AGCGAACGCUGGCGGCAGGCUUAACACAUGCAAGUCGAGCGGGCAUAGCAAUAUGUCAGCGGCAGACGGGUGAGUAACGCGUGGGAACGUACCUUUUGGUUCGGAACAACUGAGGGAAACUUCAGCUAAUACCGGAUAAGCCCUUACGGGGAAAGAUUUAUCGCUGAAAGAUCGGCCCGCGUCUGAUUAGCUAGUUGGUGAGGUAAUGGCUCACCAAGGCGACGAUCAGUAGCUGGUCUGAGAGGAUGAUCAGCCACAUUGGGACUGAGACACGGCCCAAACUCCUACGGGAGGCAGCAGUGGGGAAUAUUGGACAAUGGGCGCAAGCCUGAUCCAGCCAUGCCGCGUGAGUGAUGAAGGCCCUAGGGUUGUAAAGCUCUUUUGUGCGGGAAGAUAAUGACGGUACCGCAAGAAUAAGCCCCGGCUAACUUCGUG
rnacentral:rRNA from 1 species